GACAGGCUGUACCUAGAAACUGGUGCUCUC
rnacentral:piRNA from 1 species